GCAGCUCUCAAUCCCUAUUACCUGUUAACUGCUGCCACCAUCGACCAGCGUUCAGCCUGGGGAGUUCAGCUUUGCGUGUGUGUUCACGUGAAGACUGAAGGCAGUGAAAGCAGAAGGAUGCCAGAAUCCAAUCAAAGUCCUGGGCCCUGAAUACAUCUUCCACUUCCUUUUUGCCAUCCUGGAUUUUACCUGGAUUUGUUUGGGGGAAGCACAAGGAAACAAAACAAUUUGGAACUUGCGAAUGAAAUCACAGAUGGACUUUGCACUCUUCAAAACAGGCCUGGAUGAAAAGGUGCAGUCACUACCAGCUAAGGUAAAUUAUACAGACUGUUUUAAAACCACAGCUGUGUGUGGGCAUCACAAGAACACACAAAUGUGAAACUCUAGAUCGAACCAUCCAACAGUUAGCUCAAGUUGACAUGGAAGCUUUAGAAACCAUUUUUAUUAGGACCACUAUGAGCGUUUUCACUCGAAAGGAGACUUAUUUCCAACUAAAAUCGUUGGAAAUAACAGUCUUUCCUUUGGCAGGUUCUGCUCUUGGACCUCUCAAGUUUCAAAGACGCAGA